rnacentral:rRNA from 1 species
UAAAGUCGUAACAAGGUU